AUCAACUAAAUACUUUACAUAAACCUUUUGUUUCCUGAAAUACAGUAUAACCCUGUUCAUAACAGCCACCAAGGGACUAAUAAUUCUAUGGACACUUUAACAGGUGGUUGCUUAACUCUGAUUAAUAGGUGAGCUCCCUUAUGGGAUCGGAGAUUUUACUGGCUGUUAGUAGACAAGACUACAGUUAGCAGGUAAUCACUAGGACACGUAUCACUCUAUUAUACUGAAGAGAAAUUGUGUGCUAUGGGCCAGAUUCUGAUCUUGGUUACACCGAAGUCCAGAAGAACUCCACUGAACUCAGUGGCAAGGGCAUCGGAACCUUUUGUAGAAGUGGGGGGGGGCAAGGGCAAAGUGGAUUCCAGUGUCCCUUCUCCCAUCCUGUGCUCCCUUCUUCCCUAGCUCUUGUGCUCUCUUGCAGUGCCCCCUGCACACUGGCACCUGGUGCAGUCUGUCUCCUACUCUCCAGCAGCUGCACUUAGCUUGCUGGGAACCAGCUGCACAGCCCAUCCUCCUUCUGCCCUUCCCACCAGCCGCCGUCUGGCCCCUGCAGCACUGUGAGCAACUCCCCCGCUGCGAAGCAUAGUCCCUGCCAGCGCCGCUAUGUACCUUCCCGAGGCUUGCAGUUUGGGGAGGCCAUGGCCCCUUGCCCCCCAUCCCCACCCACUUCUGGUUCUGGUGGUCAGUGGAAUUAUUAAAGAUUUACACUGUGGCUCAGUGUAACCAGGAUCUGGUGCUAUGGUUUUAUCCUCUUAAUUUGAUGGAUUUCUGGGGCUCUGAAAAGGGUCAGCUAAGGCUCUAUCCUGCAAUUAUUCAAAUGAGUAUUUCUAGGAAUGGGCCCUUAAUUAUGUUGCUUUUGUAAAACCAUGUAGGGUCAGACCUCUGGGGGUGUAAAUUAGCCUGCUGCAGAGAAAUCAAGGGGAUUUGGCCUAUACUGUACUUAAUGUCUUAUUGGGUAAGGUACUUGAAGAAUUUAAUUUAUAACUAAGGUUAAAGAAACUGGGAAGUGCUUCUUUCCAGUUCUGCACGAGCAGCUGUGUAGUGGAAUAGAUCUCAAUCCAUUAAUGGGAUACCACCUGAGAGAUGAGUCUUCAGGCAAGAUUAUGAUACGGCUUUUGAAAUACUAAAAAUGUGUGGAAUAAAAGGAGGGCUGGAAAACAAAUAAAAUGAUGUACAAAAGUAGGUGUUGAGGCUGGCACGUAUUCUGUGAAUGCAUUUCCAUUAUGUUUUGGUUUUGUUUUCAAGCAUGGGGGGUUUUUAUUAUGAAGUCACAUUUGCUUCACAGUUCUGUCAUCCUGGAUGAACGAUAUAGUUUAAAGGGGACUAUUGAUAUUUCUAUCAUCUUGUAUGUUCCUAGGACUAGAUGAACUACUUGAUGAGUCAGGUACUACCCAUCGUAAUGGUGGCUGUUUCUGGCCCCUAGAUCUGCAAGGCCUCCAUCUGAAAUGGGCCUUCAAAGGGCUGAGCUUUGAAUUUGUUCUUACAAGUAUUCAGAAAAAAAUCUCUUUGGGUGUUAAGCUCUAUGUGUUCUGAUAACAAACUCUGCUGUUGUGAGACACAUACAUCUACGUGUGUGCGUGUUGCUUAGCUGCACUUUUUGUAACAGAUUCAUUUUUAGAAUGCCAUUUUGCCACCCCUUCACCCAAAUGUGGACAAACCCUUUUAAUUUAAUUAGUUUUCUAUUGUAGCUAACUUCCUAACGUUUGCAGAUUGGUUACAUCACAUUAACUUAUUGUCUUCACAUAUCCACAGUGGCAUCCUAAUGUCUCUAAACAUAAUUGUCUGUAAAAAACCAAGACUGCUUACAGUAGAUAUGGACCUAAUUUUUUGAACCAUUACAUUCUAUUGACUUAACACUUAUACAAAUGUAAGGCGAUAAAUUGUGCAAGCACCUUUUCCCAGAAGAUCAAACAUGUUGGGUUUAGUUUGUGGGUCCAGGUGGCAGUGGCCUGUAGUAUACAGGGGGUCAGACUCGAUGACAGUCCUUUCUGACCUUGAACUUGAUUCUGUGCUUUGCAAACAUGUGUAUGUUCAGUGCUAGUUCCCCAACCGAUGUGGUGCAUAUUUAUAUAAGAUAGUAAUGAACGCAAAGGGUAAACAUUUUUUUUUCUCUCACCACUAAAGUGUAAAAGAAGGGAAGCUAAACUACAGACCUCUUGAUUGAAACUGUAGAGAUCUUACUAGCCCUCACCCCAAUACAAGAAUGUCUGCAAUAGGGCUUCACUAUCCCAUCCUGAGGUCACCUUGUGUCUACCAGGUUGCAAUGAAUCCAUUCAAUGUCAAGGCCCAGACCCUGAUCCAUAGCUGUUGCAAUUCAGCAAAGAUCCAUUGACUGCAAUGGUGCUAUGCUGACUUAUGCCAGCUGAAGAUCUGGCAUGGAGUUUUAGCCUUGCCUCUGUAGUUGAUUGUUUUUGUUGGGUUUUUUUGGGUUUGUGGGUGUGUGGUUUUUUUUUUUUUUUUUUUGGCAUUUCCACCAAAGCUCUGAGGUUCCACUCCAUUUUCUCUUCUGUCGACCAAAAUUCAUCUGUUUUACUUCCCAUUGUCCUUGAUGGCUUAUGACACAGCCUCCGUGUUUCAGGCUGAAGAGAACUUGACGGGGCUUGAUUCUGUCAAUGCUGCUUCUUAAUUAAGCCAAAAGGAUUGCUUUGCAUUUAAUAGCAAUGCCUUGUAAUGAAUUUGUAUGCUACAUAAGCAGUAACUGUCUGGAUCCCUAACAUGCAUAGGCGCUUUCGUUCCAAACCAUAGGCGUCUACCAAUUCAGCCAAAGGGAGCUCCUUUCAAAAAGUAGUAGGAGCAGCUGUAAGUCCCUAGUAGGCUGCCACUACAUGGCAACAUCGCUCCCUCAUGCGCACACACAGACGAACAGUAGUGCCUCUGUGGCACUAUCAAGCCAACCUACGUUACAUUAUCCACAUAACUAAAGUAGCGUAACUGAAGUCGACGUAACUUAGGUCAACUUACCACGGUGUCUACACGAGAUGCUGUCCCGCUGACUUACCUGACUCUUCUUGGAGAGCUGGAGUACCACAGUCGAUGGAAGAGCACUCUGCCGGUAAGUGUAGACACUGCUGUCCGGGAGCAUGAGAAAUGGAAGGAGUUUAAAUCCCAGAUGCUCUCUUGACAGUACAAAACACUAAAAGCAGAUUCUCAAGCCAUCUUAGAAAAGGCCUUUAGGUAGCUUGAAUACAUUUACAAUGCCUAAUUGUCUGGGACAGGUUUCUCAAACUUCGUUGCACCACAACUCUCCUCUGACAACAAAAAUUACUACACGAUCCCAGGAGGAUCUAAAGCCUUAGCCCACUCGAGCUUCGCUGCCUGGGCUGGGAGGGGCAAAAGCUGAAGCCCAAGAAUGUCUGCCCCAGGCGGGAGGCCUGUAACCAGAGCCCCACCAUCUGGGACUGAAGCCUUUGGGCUUUGGCCCUGGGGGGUGGGGCUCAGGCUUCAGCCCCAGCAAGUGUAACGCCAGCCUUGGUGAUCUCAUUAAAAUGAUUGCGACCCACUUUGGGGUCCUGACGCAAGGUUUGAGAACCGCUGGUCUAGGAUAUGAUAAAGAAAUAUUCUUAUUUUAAUUGAUGUAAAUGCUAGGAGCACAGGGCCUCCUUGUCUUCCACUCUCCCAGGAAGAAUUGGGUGGAGGAAAAUGGAAUGGAAUAUUUAUCAGAUUGCAUGUGAAAAGGGAUUGAAGUGGCACUAUUGUUUAUGGGUGGGAUUUUCAAAAACACACAAGUGACUUAGAUGAGGUCCCAGUGAUGAUUUUUUUUUCUUCUUUUAAUGGAGCUUGUGUUCCCAAGUUUUGUAUGCUUUUGAAAAUUCCAUCCUGUAAUGAAAUGUCCUGCUUUUUCUGUAAUCUGAUCUGAAGCAAAUUUCCUGGGAAGCAUGUGUUACCCAAACUAGUUACCAGAAUUUAUACCUGGUUGGAGAUGGAGACCUGUGAAUGAAGCAUGUCUAGCGGGGCCUUUCCAUAAAGAAGAGCAAUGCAGUCAUCUUUUGCUCAACGUGAUUGGGAAAACAGUCGCUGCAGUGGAGAGAUCUCUGAAGAACCUGAAAGGAUUUGAAGCAGUUGCACAAGUCACUUUUGGAUUUCUGAAAAUGACUGGGAGCAGAGGGGAAGAAUGGAAAAGAAGCAAACACUAAAUAUGAAACAUACCCACAAAUGUUGAAAAUGAACAAUUUUUCAUUUUGAACAAAAGCCAUUUUAAAUGAAAAUUUUCAUCCAAAAAAUGUUGACCUGCUCUGCAAAUGAGUUUUUUAAUCACUUCAUUCUCCACAUUUCCACAGUGUUACCAGACACACACAAUGACUGUCGAAGAGGAACUACACAAAUACUGCAAAAAUUAAUGAAGAGGAACUGUUUUAAGGAUCUCCAAAGCAGCAACUGAAUACAUGAGAAGAAUUGAAAGGGACCUUAUGUCAGUAGCUAAUUGGCAUAGUUGAGGUACACACACUCUCCACAGCAUGCCUGCUCCCUAUACCAAGGUGGGAAUGCAGCGGCUGAAUACAGGAGCCAGCUCCAUCACCUGCAGCUUUAUGCUAGCAGGGAACUCACUUCCACAAGCAGAAUGAUGCAAAAAGGCCAGAACAGACUGGAGAAUCCAGCUCUGUCACUCUCGAGGCAAUGAUAUCUGGUUGCAACUGGGUCCUUUGAGUCGAGAGGCCAGGUUCUGCCCCUGAGUCUCGCACUCACUGACUUUUGUCAUCUUGAACACACCACAAAGGCAUACAUUUUCAAAAGUUUUCACCAAUUUUAUUGUUGACACCCAAUUUGAGCCACUUACUGCCUGAUUUUUGGAGAUGCUCAAAACCCCCAACCCCAGCUGAUGUCAACUGGAACAGCUGGUGCUCCACACCCUUGAAAAUUGGGCUUUGGGGUCUCGAGCUGGGCAAGCAAAUAUAGGGGACACUUUUUUUAAAAAAGUGUG